AGUGAACGCUGGCGGUAGGCCUAACACAUGCAAGUCGAACGGCAGCACAGUAAGAGCUUGCUCUUACGGGUGGCGAGUGGCGGACGGGUGAGGAAUACAUCGGAAUCUACUUUUUCGUGGGGGAUAGCGUAGGGAAACUUACGCUAAUACCGCAUACGACCUACGGGUGAAAGCAGGGGAUCUUCGGACCUUGCGCGAUUGAAUGAGCCGAUGUCGGAUUAGCUAGUUGGCGGGGUAAAGGCCCACCAAGGCGACGAUCCGUAGCUGGUCUGAGAGGAUGAUCAGCCACACUGGAACUGAGACACGGUCCAGACUCCUACGGGAGGCAGCAGUGGGGAAUAUUGGACAAUGGGCGCAAGCCUGAUCCAGCCAUACCGCGUGGGUGAAGAAGGCCUUCGGGUUGUAAAGCCCUUUUGUUGGGAAAGAAAAGCAGCAGGUUAAUACCCCGCUGUUCUGACGGUACCCAAAGAAUAAGCACCGGCUGACUUCGUG
rnacentral:rRNA from 1 species